rnacentral:rRNA from 1 species
GAACGAAGUAGCAAUACUUAGUGGCAGACGGGUGAGUAACAUGUAGGUAUCUGCCCUUUGGCCUGGAAUAACACGAGGAAACUUGUGCUAAUACCGGAUAAGUCUUUACGGAGAAAGCUUUAUGCACCAUUGGAUGAGCCUGCACUUGAUUAGUUUGUUGGUGGGGUAAUGGCCUACCAAGACUGUGAUCAAUAGCUGAUUUGAGAGGAUGAUCAGCCACAUUGGGACUGAGACACGGCCCAAACUCCUACGGGAGGCAGCAGUGGGGAAUCUUGCACAAUGGAGGAAACUCUGAUGCAGCGAUGCCGCGUGAGUGAAGAAGGCCCUUGGGUUGUAAAGCUCUUUCGUCGGGGAAGAAAAUGACUGUACCCGAAUAAGAAGGUCCGGC